GAUCUGUGUCGCUUCAACAAAUUUUUUUUUCAAUAAUUUUUAGCUUUGCAUCAUCGAUAUGCCCCAUUUUUUAGCAAUAGAUGAGGAGAAUUCAAGGACAAAAGAAAAAAGAAGUCCUUUUACACCAAGAAAUACAACGAAACAGCUUCCCUCAUGUGGUGUUCUGUUUGCCAGUUUGCCUGAAAAUCCAACUUCCGGUAUAUGAGAAAUUCAAGUCAUUAAAACUCGGUCUCCUUGUAAGGAUUAUUUUUCAAAUUUGCAAUUUGGAUUAUAAUCUAGAGGAGGGAUCUCCGGGGAAAAGUGACUUGUAGAUUAUCAUCCUGCCGUGGUUGGUACUCUUCUUUCAAGGGAAUAUAAUAAAAUGCUUCCCCUAACUGGUGAACAGCACUAUUAGCCAGAAAAUCCACCCUCCGCGAUAUAUGAGAAAUUCAAGUCAUUAAAACUCGGUCUCCUUGUAAGGAUUAUUUUUCAAAUUUCCAAUUUGGAUUUCAAUCUAGAGGAGGGAUCUCUGGGGAAAAAUGACUUGAAGAUUAUCAUUCUUGUGCAGUGAAAUAAUGUGAAGUGCAAAAUUCAAUGUCGAAGGAGUUUACAAUAGAAAGGAAACACACAGAAAUUGAUGUGAAGAACAGCUGCCCAUCUGCGAGAAGUCUACAUAAAUCUACGAAAUGAUUUUAUUCUCGAUGGCUUUUGAUGUCACGUGUUCUUCAAAGAAGAAGGUAUCUUAUCUUGAAGUACACAGGAUUCUGGAUUCUUCAUAUUAAUAUCGCAAAGAGGCAGAAUCCGAAGUAGAUUGCAACUAUUCCUACAAAAGGCAGAGGGAUUGUUCAAAAUAUUCUAAAUCGCGUGUGUUUCCUGUUGCAUCAUAUCGUCCAAAAUUCGGAGAUAAAUCGGUUGCUGACUAAGCUCGGGAAGUCCCGGGAGAACAAUUCAUUCUAUAUCACACGCGAGCAAACCAGCUAUUCUUUCUGAUCAAUGGCAAAGGGCCAAGAUGGAGAAGAGGAGAAAGAAGGGAGAGAGAGAGAGAGAGAGAGAUAACGUGGCAAAGUACUUUAGCAAACAAGUUCAGCGGUAGCUCAAUUGGUAAAAGCGACUACAUCCACUGAAUAAGGCGGACGUUCGAGCCCAGCCUCCG